AUUCAAUUAGUUUAAAUAAAACAUUUUAUUUUCAUUAAAAAGAUAAUUUUAAAAUUAAUGAAUU
rnacentral:tRNA from 2 species